UACGUAGGGGGCAAGCGUUGUCCGGAAUCAUUGGGCGUAAAGCGCGUGUAGGCGGUCCGGUAAGUCCGCUGUGAAAGUCGGGGGCUUAACCCUCGGAUGCCGGUGGAUACUGUCGGGCUCGAGUACGGAAGAGGCGAGUGGAAUUCCUGGUGUAGCGGUGAAAUGCGCAGAUAUCAGGAGGAACACCAAUUGCGAAGGCAGCUCGCUGGGACGUUACUGACGCUGAGACGCGAAAGCGUGGGGAGCAAACAGG
rnacentral:rRNA from 1 species